CUUGUACUCCCUCCAUACGAAAAUACUUGUCAUUGAAAUGGAUGUAUCUAGAUGUAUUUUAGUUCUAGACACAUCCAUUUUGAUGACAAGUAAUUCCGGACGGAGGGAGUACUUG
rnacentral:pre_miRNA from 1 species